rnacentral:rRNA from 1 species
UACGAAGGGGGCUAGCGUUGCUCGGAAUCACUGGGCGUAAAGCGCACGUAGGCGGCUUUCUAAGUCAGGGGUGAAAUCCUGGAGCUCAACUCCAGAACUGCCUUUGAUACUGGGAAGCUCGAGUCCGGAAGAGGUGAGUGGAACUCCGAGUGUAGAGGUGAAAUUCGUAGAUAUUCGGAAGAACACCAGUGGCGAAGGCGGCUCACUGGUCCGGUACUGACGCUGAGGUGCGAAAGCAUGGGGAGCAAACAGG